AGACACUGAGCUGCAUGUCAUAAAGUUCAGACUGUCCAUGGGGACGGAGCAUCCUGGAGCAGAUAAUGGCUGCUUCCUCCUUAUCAAGAAGAGUAAUCUCCUCUUGCCUGGGGACUCUGCAAAGACUUCAGCUGAGUAACAACUCAGUGGCUAAAGAAAGUGGGAAUGUGCGCCUGCCUGGACAGCUAGCUGUUCCCUUGCUCUGUGUCAGAUCCUCAGGGGCUGAUCUCCGAAGAGCAUCCCUAGAAGAGCUGAUUGAGGAUUUCUCUGGAUCUGGAAUGUGACAAGCAAACAUCACUUCAGAUAUUUGCCUCUGAUGUUGGUGACCGGGCAGAGGAGGAUCACACGGAUAUCAGGAUAUCAGUUCGUGUCUCACCUUCCCCCUUCCCAUCCCAUUCAUUUGCACACCACACACCCCUGGUGGGGCCGCCUCUCAUCGCAGGCGGCCCUUCUCCAUCUCACGCUGCUGGAAGAGGACGUCAGACUCUGAGGGCAGGGUCCGGUGUGGUGUGUGCAAAAGCGCCUCCGCCAGGGUUGUCCGUCCAGCCCCUCGGACUGUUCCGGAUAUGAUGGUAGCUACCCCAGAACAAGGCGGCAUCAGGCAGAACGCCACUGUCCCUUCACGCUGUGCUUUGCCGGGGCUCCGCGUGCACUGGUUGAGCCCCAUCUUCCCAACCUAGGCGAACGCGGCAAGUGCCCAUCCCCUACGAGGUGACCACAGUUGCAGGUCACCUCAGUCACCCACCGUGCACAGAGCGGUUCCAGGCCUCACGCUCUGAGUACACCCAUCACACACACCACUCAUGUCAUCUCCACCGAGGGCUCUCUGUGCUGAGUGUUAUGAUUACCCCCAUCCUCCAGGCAAGAAAAUUGACAAGUAGAGAAGUUCAGAAAGCUGUCUCUGGCUCAUUAGUGCCGGAGCGGGGAUCUGAACCCAGAACCUUCGAAAGUCCAUGAAAUUCGGACCAUGUCACCGUGGCCUUCAAGAAUUCCCUGGAGUCUCAGACAGUCUUUUGAGGUAGGACCACCUUAACUUUUAUGAUCGAAAGACUCUUUUGCCUGAUAAAACUUCUAUCCUUUUGUGGGUCUCAUUUUCUAAGAGAUGGGGAUUUGAAUGAGUAUCUGAAAGGAAAAUAGUGUUGCAAUGUGUGGGAGGUUAGGCGGAAGGGAGGGAAGACAAGGCGUGGCCAUGAAUCUGUGGGUGCUUCCAGCCUAGAAUGGGCUUGUUGCAAAAGGUCAAAGGGCACUUGUUCCAGCUGACCAAGGUACUGGGAAUGCCCCAUUUCCUGGGAAAUGAAUGGACGAUUCAGGGGCCUAGUCAGUCACUGCUACUUCUUAGCUUUUAAGCCAUAAAUCUAAAACAAACAAACAAACAAGGGAAGCUCUUUAAGACUCCCUCAGCAAUCUAGUCUGAUUGAUUUUUAUUCAGGGAAGAUGCCAAAAAGUCCCCGAUUCACUACAAUUUGUUUUUUUGUAAGAAACUGAAAAGAGGGAAAACUCAAAUGUUUUUGCUGUCCUGCAUUUGAACGUUUCUAAUCUAAAGUAAACAGGGGACCUCUGUCCUUUGUGUCGGAUGGUGGCAGACACAGGGCCCUUGUUCAGGGAGCAUGGUAUGGGCCCAUCACAGACCCAGCACACACUGAAGCCCUGUGUCCCAAGGGAGGGACGGGGCCCAAUUCCUUCGGCUGCUGGUGCAAUGGUGCAAACAGUUGGUGUUCAAACCUCAUCUCUCCCGACCCCAUGAUCAUCUCUACCGCGACAGGAAAAGAGAAACCCUCUCGUGGCUCUUUCUUAGCCACCCUGAAUCCCACCAAAAUGCCCUCACUGCCUUUGUCUCUGAAAGAAAUCUGUUCAUUGUGGAAUGUUUAAAUCCAUACAGAGAAGAGUAGACAAAGAAUCACUCCAUUUAACCACCCAGCCAUAAGGGUUAAACAUGUUGGUAUCUCUAUAGCCUCUACCUGUUUCUCUAUGCACGUAUAUUAACAUACUUACGGGGAAGGGACGACAUUUGGAUCAUACCGGACAUUUGUUAGGGAUGUAUUGUAAAGAAUCCCCCAAAGCAUGUCAAUUGGAUAAAAGAAUUAAAUGUAAUAGGUGCUGGAAUAAAUAUAGAUGAAUAUUUAUUUCAGCUGUUGUUAACCCAGCGUCCAUGCACAAACUUCAGAGUCUGUAAAUGCAUGUAAUAAUAUGCACAAUUUGGUAUAUGAAUGUAGAUAAAUGCAGGUAUGGAUAUAGUUAUAGAGAGAGCUGUAUGGGGAGCAUGGGGAAGAUACUUCAUAGUUUUCAUCAGAUUCUCCAGUGUAUGUGUGACCCCAAAACCAACGAUUUAUAUUAACUUGGCUUGAAGAAAAAUACCUAAUAUAGGAAACUGCCUACAACACAAUGGAUAGGAGCGUUAAUGUGUUAAACUUUUCUGUAGGGCACAUGCGCGCACAGUUGAAAAUACACAUAAGAACAUAUUAUGAAGCUAAAAUAAUGCAAAAUGGUGUAAAUUGGGGGACAGAGAUAGACAAUACAGAAUAUGAAGCCUGGGGUGGAUGGGACCAAGAAUAUAACAGAUCUGUGGGAUGGUGCAAAUCAGAUUGUAUGGAGAAUGUUAAUUAGCAUCCUUGUUUGCUUCCUGCCUGCUAACAGGAAUGCUUCUGAUGUUUUCAAAUGAAGGAUUUCAUCCAUGCCCAUCUGAUACAGGUAUUCCUUAUGUUAAUGAAGUAGCCUAUUUCUAGUUAACUAAGACCUUUUCCCACAACUAUAAUUACGUUUUAUCUUUGAUUAAAAUGUGGAAAAAUGUGUAAUUAUAAGUGGGAUGUAUGUUAACUAGACUUAUUGUGGUGAUCAUUUUGUGCUAUUUACAAUGAUUGCAUCAUUACAACUAAAAUUAAUAUGUCCAUUAUAUCUCAAUUUAAAAUGUAGUUAUUUAUAUUGAUAAAAUAUUACCUGAAUUACCAGAACAAACGCUACCUGGUCAUAGUAUAUUGUUUUUGUUUUUAAGUAGGCUCCAAGCCCAGCCUGGAGCCCAACACAGGGCUUGAGCUCACAACCCUGAGAUCAAGACCUGAGCUGAAAUCAAGAGUCGGAGGAUGCUUAACUGACUGAGGCACCCAGGCACUCCGGUCAUAGCAAAUUGUUUUAAAUAAUGUUUUGGAUUUGACUUGCUAGCAUUGUAUUUACCUUUUUUCAUCUGUGCUCUUAAGUCAGAUCGGUCUUUAGUUUGUCCCCCCCACCUUUUUGUUUAUUUUUUUACUACUUUUGUUAGUCUGAGAUACCAGGGUUACUUUAGUUUGAAAGACUGAUUGAAGGGGUUGCCUGGGUGCUGCAGUCGGUUAAGCACCCGACUCUUAGUUCCAGCUCAGGUCCUGAUAUCAGGGUCUUUAAAUCAAGCCCCACUUCAGGCUCUGUGCUCAGCAUGGAGUCAGGUUAAUAAGACUGUCUCUCCCUCAGCUCCAGGCCCCCUUUCUGAAAGAAAGAAAAAGAAAGACGAAAGAAAGAAAGAAGAAAGAAAGA